AAAUAACGUGCUACAGUAUGUACCAAAAAUAUUAAAAUGCUAGUUCAUUAAAUGAUUAUGUAUAUUGUUGUUUCCAUAUCUUAGAUAAUCUUUUUCUAUUUUUUUGGUAAAACUUGUAACCAGAACGAAUCAGUUUUGGUGGUAAAUGGGUUACGGCUCACAUUAGAAAAAAAAAAUCAUUGUUUAACAUCAUUUAUUUUUAAUAUUUACAUUAUUUUAUAAUUGAUGUCAAAUAAAUUUACAUCAUUUAAAUAAAUGAUUUUUGAAAUGGUAAUGCAAAUAGUUAACAUUAUUUUAUUAGUAAACUCGGGUCGGCCGCCUACGGGCGGAAUGUGUUCUACAUGCUUGUAUUGAAAUUAGUUACCAAAGUUAUUGAAUCUAACGAAGAUUUUCAGAGGAUAUGUGAUCUUACCAAAGUUACUUGUAUUAUAAAAAAAAAAUUGAGUGGUUCAGUUCUUUCAGAUAAUUUUAAAAUAUUUUGGAUUAAAACAUACUCUGCCAAUUUGUUAGUUUUUCCGGUAGUUCAAUUUAUAAGUAGUGUUCCAAAAAUAUAUGGUAAUUUUAAUACUAAUAUUUGGUAAUUUUAAUACUAAUAUUUUGUAGUUUUUCGGUUCGAUUUCAGUUAAGUUUCGGUUCAGUUUGGAUAUUUUGUUUCCAGAUAUAUAUGGACCAUUUGCUUAUUUGUGAACAUUAAUUCAGUUUUGAAUUCAGAAUUUUUAAUUCUAUUUUGGUUUGAUUCUCGGUUAUCUGUUCAUGUACUAUGUAAGGAUAAUUAGUGUUCUAUUUUUUUUGUGGAAUUUCGUGUGUAAACGUUUUACACUGUUUAUUUUUCUUUAAUAUAAUGAUUUUUUAAUGUGAUGUUUAGAAUUAUGAUGCAAGUAAUCCUUUACCUUUGCAGCUCUACCACCAAUUUUUUGUAUUCAUCUACUACCUUUUGUGAAUUAUUCUCUUCGAUCAUAGCUUUUGAUUUCUUGAAUUGCUACUUAAGCCAUGCAUAUGUCCGUGCUCAUCAAACAGUUUUGCUUAUUCAAUAUCUAUUACCGUGUGUGAAUCUACAAUGUCUUAAAACAUAGAUUUUGAUAUCCUAAUUCCAACUCAAGUUAAGCUUUCUUUCUUUAAGUUCAACUACCUGUUUUUCUGCAUCAUCAACUUUAAUCUUUUGCUUCUGCUCCAAAUAUUAAAUCUUAGAUUUUGAUUGUUUGAGUUACGUUUCUGCAACUCAGUCACAUCUUUUGUUGAUACAUUUCUUAUAUUUUGUGUCUUUUCUUCAAGUUGUAGGUCUUCUCUCUGCAGCUCAAACACCAGUUUCAUUUUUUUUUUUUUACUUGUUUCAUAUUUUACCUUUUGUCUUUUCUCUAAACCUUAGUCUAGCAUUUGUUUAUUUGAAAUCCUCCUUUUUCUUCUUUAUUGUAUUACUAGGAUAGGCCCGUCCUACGGGCGGGAUAUAAUUUACUUGUGAUCUAGAUUUUAAUUUUUUGUACGAUUCGUGGUUUGUGUUUUAGGUUUGCAUUUGUAAGAAAUAUGUAUUAAAAUGAUUGUUGUCUAAUAGAAAAUUUUAAGUGACGAAAAAUAUUAUAUUCAUUUUACUUAAAGUUUGAUGUUUGCUUCUUUUUGUAACUUGUUUUUGUUCUUUUAUUUGUUGUCAAAUAUAUUUUAUGACAUUAUACUGUUUUAGGUAUUGUUUUUCUUUCUUGUUAUGUUUUUUUAUAAUGAGAAUACAUUUUUAUGUCAUCUUCGCAAAUCUCUAACUAAAAUUCAUUAUUUUUUAUUAUUCUUUUUAGAGAUUAUAAAGUUGUAUGACACGAAUUUCAUGAUUGAAAUGAUAUAUAUUUUCUUAAGGUUUCCUCAAUUUUUUUAUAUAUAGUAAGUAAAUUGAAGUUUGUAUUGUUGUUGUUAGGUUUAAUACUCCAAAUAUUGAUUAUUUUAUAUUUUGUAUACAUUGAAUGUACUUGUGUUUUUAUAAAAUAUUAUUAUUCAGUUUUGUAUAUAAUCGGUGGCUUUUUUACUUAUUCUAUUACCUCUUAUAUUGUUUUUAUUUGUUAUACCGAAUAAUUUAUUAUUUUAUUUUAGAAUUUUACUAUAUAUAUCUAAUAACAUAAAGUAGAGAGGGACUCUCUUCUCCUGCGCCAGCUCAAGAAAUAGAGACAGGAUGUUGCGACACGUGUCCAAUCAGUGAAACUCAGUGCGUCGUUUAAGUCGUUGUCUAUGGGUUCCAUUGUUUUGUUGGGCUUUACAGCAUGCAGCCCAUCACGUGUUUUAGAACAUAAUGGUAACUAAACGCCCCGUUUUGGAUUAGGUGUACGCAUAAUGGUUUACGCUUAUCGCGUCUCCAGAUCGAAAGGUGACACCCCUUGCGCAGCUGACGUUCCGUCUCCUUCGUUGCAAGCACUCAAAAACCGAUCAAUCAAUCAUCUUUAAUCCCCCCCCCAUUAAUCUAUCACCCACGAUCUGGAUUCAAUGUGAUAUUGUUGAUGUGCAAGGCGUUCGAGUCGACUAUAAAAAAGCCGGUGGCUCCUCUUCCACCGUCGAAGUGUGCUUGCUCCGCUUCUGGGAGGCCAGAAACGUCCGCCGUGGUGGAGAACUCAUGGGCGUCGACAUGCUCUUGCUUCACUCUCAGGCUGGAGGUGUUGGCAAGACAUACAUAUUCCAGCUCAGCGUGACCAGUUUCAUUACACUGCAGAGCGUCAGACCUUCACAGUCUUACGCAUCUUCAACGAGUCCCUGAUAUGUUAGUUUGUAACUCACUUGAUAUUCUGUCAAAAUAACAAUGUGUGUCUUGGUGUUAUCAGGGAGACAACGGUGGUCUUGGAGAUGAUAUGAACACUGGAAGCUCAACUUAAGUUGAAUCUAAAACUCUUCCGAGGCUGCUGCAACGGAUCUAGAUCAGCUGCAGUCAACGUGUUCAUCCUACGUUAUCAUAUCGUCUGGGUUUUUGAGCAUUCCUUACUGCAGAUUCAUCACCGUCAAAGCCGUUUUUACCAAUUUUGCAGCGAGGCGACUUUACCAGAAUGGAUUUGGCUUGGCGGAAGUUGUGUGUAUGAUGAGCAGUGCUGCAUAUCAAGCUAAGAAGAGAAGCAACAAUGUACAAUUAGCGGAAGAGACUGUAGCUCACCGCCAAGCCCAUGCUUUGAAGCGUGUAUGAAUUGGCAAUCAGAAUACUGCUGGGAUCUCUACUGAUGAUGAAGACUUAUGAGAUUGAAGCUUUUAGUCAGGACAGAAAGAGAUGGAGGAUACUUUAAUGCUGAUGGGAACUUUGUAGAAUAUGUUAGAGACAAGGAAGUCAAGGUGCAGAUCAAACAUUGGUUUAAUGUUUGAGGAAAAUGAUCAAGGUCAAACGUUGGUUUAACGUUCUAGGAACGUGAGCAAGAUCAAAUGCAAAAUUUGAAAAAGAGUCAGCAAUUGCAAGUAUGGUAAAGGGCACACAGCUUCAAGACGUCAUCAGUUAAUGUAUAUACAAAUAUACAAUAGUUAGAAGGUCAUUUGUAUUGUUAUCCAUUGGUCGCUUACAAUGACGUUGUGAGUCAAAAACGCAUAGGACAUGCCAACAUUUGAAUAAAAAGGGAUAUGCUGAGAGUAUUAGAAAGUUGAGUGCUUUAUAAAUAUGAUAUCUUUUAUCUCUUAGUUGAUUAUUUAUUGAUGUGAGUUAUAAAUUCAUGGUUGUCCUCGAUUGUUUAAUGUUACUCUAUAAGAUUUUUACUUAAUAUUUCCACAAAUAUUAAUUUGAUAAUUUGACAAAAUAUUUUAGAAAAUCGAUGUAAAAACAAUAGAUAUAUAUAGAUGUGAAGAAUAUUGGUCAGUUUGGACAAUAGAUAUAAUCAUUUUCAUCCAUAUAGGUGACCACUAUUAGUUUUGUUUUACUUUCUCAGAUUAGUAUUGACAUGUUCUCUUUUACUGGUACAUUUAAAAGGUAAAAAAGUAGAUUUCAUUCAUCUAUAUUUUUAAUCUCUAUUCAAUAGAAAUCUUGGUUCAAACCCUACGUUACCGGGUAAAAAUCUCAGCAUCUUAACAAUUUAUACCCAAAUAAAAUAUCAACAUGCUUUACUAACGACCAAGUAAACAAUAGAUUUUUUCAAAAAAUAUAACUAACGUUUUAAUAAUAAUUAGAAAUAAAAAGAACUUUAAAUUAAAUACAAUUCUAUAAAACUGAUAAAUAAUAAAAAACAUACAACUAAAUCUCAUCAAACCUAUAUAAUAUGUUACAUGCUGAAACCUCAUAAUAUAGAUACAACGUAACUAUAAAAAACAAACAUUAUAAAUAUUUCUAUACCCAAUCAUUCUUAAAAUCCAUAAACGUUAUUAAAAACAUCUCCUACAACUGCUAACAUAAAACACACAAUACCAAACACGUGCUAAAAGAUUCAAAAAGCCAUGAUUAGCUUUUAGGUUUUGAUUGAUCUAUAUCUUUAUAUAUAAAGAAGAGUUUAAUCUCUCCUGAUGAUGCCAGCUAGGAUGCCAGCUUGGAAAUAGGAUCCCUGUAGUGAAGACACAUAGGAUCCGCACCGUUUCACUAAACUUCGCUGUUGGGCUUCGUUACGCGCUGCGGCCCAUCGAGACAGUCUUCUGCGGAAGCCCUAUCAACUGCUCCCCUCCGUGUUCUUCGUUCGUCGUCGAUCUACGAAGAGACUGUCGAGAUUCUGUAACGGCGAUUGUGGUUUAAUCGUCAACCACGUGAUUCUCACCUAUAAAAAGUUUGUUCUUAUCAAGCCAACUGCUCAGUCCCGACUCCUCCCUCCUCAGGUAUGAAUCCCUCUUAAUGUUUCACUCCAAGUCGUUUGAUAAAUAAGCCUCAAUGUAGUUGGCCGGAGAUGUUGGAGGAAAAGACGGUUUGAAGAAUCUUCACGGUGUGUAAGUUUCCGUCGGAGUGGAGAAACACUGGAAGGGACAUGAGUCGAUUAGCCAUGUCUUGAUUGCGUCUAACCCAUACCGUAUGACGAGUGCAUCAAGGACUGUGAUAAGGCUGUUGAAAAGGAUAGAAAGCUUAGGCCUGGAAAGGAACAACUCGAAAAAGUAUCCACAGGUAGCCGCCAAGAACGGCUGGUUUUGUUGGCUCUGCUACUGCUCCGCACACCAUCUCCUCUGAUGCGCAUGUGCUCUCCUCAGAGCUGCGACCAAAGCGUUGGCGAGCGAGGGUUGAGUCUGAAACUGACUGUUUGGAUUGGUGGGAAUCCUGUUGAAGGAAACGUUGAAACAGAGCUCGAGAGCUUGGAAAUAGAGAGAAGGGUGUGCUAUUUGGCGACCAAAGGAAGUGAGAGGAUGAGAUUUGAGACAUGCCCUUCGAAAAAAAUUUGAUCUUGUGGAAGUUAAAAUCGUCGAAGUGACGUGAAGAGGAGUGACCUGAGAAUGGCCUCUCCUUUUUGCUGGUUGGAUAUUGCUUCUAAACUGAAGAAGCCUUGGUGUUAGCGUCUGGUGCACGGUAUAAACCAAUGUACGCAUCACUUUAACCCGUUAAAUCCCUUUCAAGUUUUAUCUUUGUACCCACAAACAAAACAAGGUUGAGACGUUGAAGUUUCUUUAAGCUUAAAGGAAGAAAUAGUGGUGGAGGAAGCAAACUUAAGUUAUGAAGAUAUGGUUUAGUAUGAGGAAAGUAUCGAAUAGAUGAGGGAGGGCAAGUUAUGGCUUUAUAUUGUUUGUUUCAUACUUUCGAUGUUAUUUUUUCUUUAAAUUUCUUAGUAAUUAAAUAUCAUAAAGAGCUCAGAUAUUACUGAAUACUUUUGUAAUACUAAACACUUGGCCAGUCGUUCAAAUUGUUUUACUUGGAGGAUGCAUUAAAUAACUUCACUUGAAGCAGAUAUUAGUUCUUCUGAAUUUCACUUGAAAAUUUUAUAAGAAAACCAAUUACGAGAAUACAAUAACAUUGUUGCCUUUUCACGUUUUAUCAACUCAACCAUGAUUAAAGAAAAACUUAAACUUUUCCUAUUCUAAUAAUUGAGUUUAAGUUAAGAAAAACUAAGAUACUGAGAAAAAGAAAAAAAACAAUUUACACACUAUCAAAACAAAUGAAAAAAUAAAAUAUACAACAUUAAACAUAAAAUGGAAAAUAAUUUCAUGAUAUAAACAAGAGACUAAAUUUAUUGUAUCUAAAUAGAUGUAUUUAAAAAAUUUCAUGAAAAAAUAUCUUCCUAGCUAAUCUCGAAUGGCACAUAGAAACAAUUAUGAAUUCUUUCCCUGAUAAUCUGAAAUUCUGUGUUUAAUGUUAAGAUCAAGCAAGAAAUAGUCUAGAAAUCCUUAUAUUUGUUCAUAAUAAACAAUAUAGCUUAUUUUAUCUGAACCAAGUAUCACCUAACAAUAAACUUUAAAAAUAAAACCGAUGAAUAUCAGGAACAUGUCCUAACCCUUGAACACUAUGUCCAAUCCAAUUGGAUAUCUAAUGUUUUGAUUGCCAGUUUUUCAUCAAAGGUGAGAUUCUCUUUUUGGAAAAUUAUUCAAAGGCCUUACAACUGGCGAGAAUCUCAAAAAGAAUCGUAUACAUUAGUUGUUAGAUACAAAUUAUUCAACAAUGACAUAACAAUAUUGUCGUCGCAAAAAGUCAAAACAAAAAUUACUUACAAACAAAAGAUACAUGAACCAUUUUCUUGAGUUUUUUCUUCUUUUUUUGUGUCUUUCAUUCACAUCUCUUGCAAAUAUGAACCUAAAAUACCAACCACAAAAUUAUAUAAGAAAACAAUAAUCUAGAUCACAAAUAAAUCAUAUCCCGCCCGUAGGGCGGGCCGACUCUAGUAUUAUUAUAAAGUAGACAUUGUCUCUCUUCUUAGGAUGACACGUAAUCAAAUAGUUAACUCAGAGUGCGACACGUGUCCUCCAUCUUUUGAAAAACCUUCAUUUAUAGUUUGGCUGAUCCGUUUUGCAUAUAUUGGGCUGGCAAAAAAAAAAUGUUGACCCUUUAGAGCUUGCCCCGUUAAUCGACACUAUCUUUCUCACGAGUCAUCGCCUCUUUUUUUUAGGGUUCAUUGUUUCCUUGAAGCUCUCCUUAGGUUCGCCAAUAAUGGAUGUUCUGAGAGGUUGUGCCAGACAAGCAUUUUCCACGCCAUUAACAAGUUCUUAAAUCUUUGACCCACUAUAUCUAAUUAAGUGAUCCUUAUCUCUCUCCUAGACUGUAGAACUCCACCUAUAUAGGUAAGUAAUCAUCGCUAGAUCAUCAUCCUCACAGUUUUUCAUAGCAAUACAAAUUCGAAACAAAAUCCGGCAUAUAAUCUCAAAAGUUUCAAACUUUUGUAUGCAAAUCUUUAUUUAAACUCUUACGGAGUCCGUUUUCGAUUAUUCUGCCGUAUGGAGUUUGUUAUCCCAUUAAUUGUAGACAUCAAGAGUCUUGACUCAAGACUAUAAGAAUCCAUUUGGCAGAAAAGCUGAUUUACGGUCUCUGCAGAGCUUCAUUUACUGGCAUGGAUAUUGGACAAGAUGAAUAAAAUGAGACAUACAGAUAUGCCAAGACGGAACAGAGACAACAAAACAUAAUGUCGAGCUGUUCAAUUCUACUCCACUUCCACCUUCAACACCAACGCUGUUAAGGUCAAAAUAAUCUUAAAGCAAAUAAUCUAUGGUAUCGUCAUAUAGGCUUCUCUUGAUUUGCUCAAUGUUUCUUAUGCAUAUAAUUGUUGGCUCAACUUCCGAUCGCAUCCAACAACAUGAUGCUUCCUCAACAUAACCAUUAGUUUAUAUGAUUAUGCCGUUGUCAAAGUCUAACAAGUGAUGGCUAUGAUGCUUCGGGUAGAGAAGGCAGUGAUCAGAAAGUGAUGGCUAUGAUGCUUCUGGUAGAGAAGGCAGUGAUCAGAUUCCUUCUAUAAACAUCCCACAUCAAGACGAGAAGUAUAAUUAUAAUCAGUAGAUUUUAGCUCUCAAGGGUUGAUCAUCCUUGAGCAUUUUUUGAUAUAUGGCUGGUAACGUUCAAAUGCAUUAAUAAAGAAAAGUCAACAAUCUCAGACAAAAGAUUGAUGGGCUCUUAGAGCAUGAUUAACCACAAAUCCCAUUAGAGUUGCUUAAUGAUUAUUUUAAUAUAUAAUUGUUGAUAAGCACUUUAGAUAAGAAACCCCCAAAUUUUGUGCCUCAAUGCUAGUUGCUUACCUAAAGGUUCUUAAAAAAUUACUUUGGGUUAAAAUUGCACAAUUGAAAGAUUAGGAGUCAAUUAGAGAGGUCUGUUCUGCAAAUCUGAUAGUUUUGGGAUCAAAAAAUAAUUAUCCAAAGACAAAGGACCAGACUUGAAAAUAAGCCAAGAAUGGCCAUUGGAGCUCACAAGCUUUCUCUCCCGGAUCUGGAGCACGAUGGUGGAGGAUCCGGCGACGGAAAAACUUGAUUCCAUGGCGGAGGAGAGCUGAGACGGGUUACCUGGAUCGAAGGAUAGGAGACGAGCUGCAGAGGGCCGACGAAAUGAACAUCUUCAUGACAUCUCUGUAGCAGCGGAACAUGUCUGAGAAGGAGUUCUUGACCUUGGGCUGGAUUUUGUACCGAUCGAACCAGGCGAUCGAGCCAAUUCGACGAAGACGAGAGAGAGAGGAUCGAGCCAAUUCGACCAAGAUCCAACACGUGUCCCACAAGCACCCGGUUCUUCUACCUCCUCUUUAAGCACCGCUUUUUUAUAUUAAUCCCAUUUUUUUUAAAAAAAAAUAUUUAUUAAGCUAAGCAUUCCCCUUAAGCACCCUGGUUGAAGAUGGUCUUAGAGUUUUGGAAGGAGAUCUUAAGAUAAGCAUCAGUGGAAAAAUAAACAAAAAAAUUGAAGUUUUUUAUGCAUUGUCAAUGAAAAAUAAUGUAAUUGUUUUUUUUUAUUUUCACAAAGAAUAACCCAUUAUAGUUUAACAUUAUAUGAUGAAAUUUAGUUAACCACAAUGAAAUCAAGGUUGAAUAUCACAACAUCAAA